GGGGGCGAAAUUGGUUUCGACUGGUCAGGUGGGGCGUCGGUGGCAUGCGGAGGAUGACCGUUGGCCUCCUAAAUCAUCGGUCAAACAAGUAGCUGCGAACAACCAGCUGCCACUCGCUGCCUAAGGGCGGCGACGUCUUCACUCUGAUGUCUGAUAAGGGCUGAAGACGCCAACAUCAGGCUGGCCGUGAUGCCGGGCGUCCGGGCGGAUCGGCGAGAUUCAAACAGGCCGCUGGUUGCGGCGCUGGGCCCGUGCCCCGCCAGGCGCCGCGACGAGACCCCAAGGGUGCACUAAGCAUGUAGUCGCCGGCGUGCCGUCUCCCCAGGACGGGGGUUCGACUCCCCCGCCUCCACC
rnacentral:tmRNA from 1 species